CUACAGGCUUAACACAUGCAAGUCGAGGGGUAGCAGGGUAGCAAUACCGCUGACGACCGGCGCACGGGUGAGUAACACGUAUCCAACCUUCCCAUAACUCGGGGAUAGCCUUUCGAAAGAAAGAUUAAUACCCGAUAGUACUUAAGAAAGGCAUCUUUUUUAAGUUAAAGAUUUAUUGGUUAUGGAUGGGGAUGCGUUCCAUUAGAUAGUUGGUGAGGUAACGGCUCACCAAGUCUUCGAUGGAUAGGGGUUCUGAGAGGAAGGUCCCCCACAUUGGUACUGAGACACGGACCAAACUCCUACGGGAGGCAGCAGUGAGGAAUAUUGGUCAAUGGGCGAGAGCCUGAACCAGCCAAGUAGCGUGAAGGAUGACGG
rnacentral:rRNA from 1 species